GGGAUGGUGGAGAGCAGCUCUGGCCCCAGCAUUGCUCCAGUCAGGAUGAAGAGUAACACGAGGGUGAACAACAAAGACCACAGAGAAGCCUGCAAACACAACAAUUCAGCCACACAGGAAAUGAUCCUGAGUGAAUCUAGCACACGAAGAUGAGCGUCUGGAAAAAAUAAAUUCACUCUUCGGAGCUGAAGAGGGGACAGAACAGUUGGUGACUCAGGCUUUCAAUCUCCUCCCCUUCCCAGAGAAACACACCAUGUCCCCUCCUUAGCAGCAGCGGGUGACUCCAGGUACGUAACGCUGUCUCUGUGCAGAAUACAUAAUGUGUCCCCAGCAGCAGCUGGACAUAGUGUAUAAGACUAAAACAAAA